CUAGAUUAUCGGCUAAUCGCUCGCUCACAAGCGAGAGGAAAGUCCGGGCAGCAUAGGGAAAGGCAGUCGUUAACGGCGACCGGGAGUAAUCCUAGGGAAAGUGCCACAGAAACGAAACUACCUUUAGGUACAGGUGAAACGAGUGGGGUAAAAGCCCACAGUCCCCGUCGGUGACGCCGGGGGGAGGUAAACCCUGCCUGCUGCAAGGAGAUAAGCCUACUAGUUUCCCGCUAAGGCCUGUCGUUAACCGCUUGAUCUGCUGAGCAAUUGGUAGACCAGAUAGAUGAUUAGCUAAAACAGAACCCGGCUUACGGAUAAUCUAGCUAG
rnacentral:RNase_P_RNA from 1 species